CAUCAAUCUUAUUUCUUUUGUUCUUUGUUUCAGAGAAAAAAGCAACCGCAACUGACAGAUAUAAAGAAACAUAUGACUCACCUGGUACCAGAGAAAGACAAUCAAAUGUUUACGACGAUGUCAGUCCGGCAGCAUCAAACUCUAUCUAUGAAUCCAUUCGUUUAAAGCCAAAAUCUACAAUUCACGAAAUUUGUGACAAGGAAAAUGGUGGACACAAGUCAAUGUAUGUGAAUCAAGAGUUUUAGAAAAAGAUUUUUUUAAGGAGUUUGUCAGUGCGAUUAUUAUGAAUGGAAUAGUUUUAACAAUGGAUCAGAAAUAAGAACAAUUAGAUUAUUAGAAUCUACAGUCCAGUUGGAUAGGCACUACAAUUUCUAUAAAAAUAUGAUGUACAACAACAUGAAUAAAAUGGCAUAUGGGAGAUAGUUUAUUUCUGUUGUUGUAAGCAAUAUGAAUACUGAAUAAUGUUCGACACAUAUUAUGACAAUUUCUAGAUUUAUUUCAAUGUAUUCCUAAUUAUGUAUUUGCAUUUUCAAACAAUCAAUAUAGCAAUCAACACAUAAUGCAAACGUAAAAUGACACUUCACCAGCUAUGUCACUAAAACAACUUGUUCUCUUCAUUAACCUUACCAUAACUUUUAAGACCAUUGGAAACUAUUUCAUAAUCAUAUUUCCGUAAAAUACAAAUAUUCAGCAUAAGAUUUUUCAUUAUUUAUUUAAUUAUAUGUCACUUUCAUAAAAACUUUCAC